UAGGCACUAUUCAGCGGGUAACAGUAACUCUCUGGCUCGAACAACAGACCAUGUUGAAAAAUUUUCAGCCAUUGAAUUGUUUUAAUUACAUCGAGCAUUUUUGCAGUUGGCAAACAAGUCCUGUCCCUCUACACAUAGUUGAAAGUUGAAACAAAGAAGUUACAUCAAAAAAUGUUAGAAACAGCUAAGGAUUUCCAGAUCACAUUGGUGCAAGAAAUGAGACAUUGAAUAUUCAAUCUCUCUAUGCUGGAUGCCUGGAAAAGAAAUGUGCUGGGAAAAAAUAUUGUUCUGUGUUUCUUUAUCAAGAUAACGUUUCCACAUCAUUUAUCACAAAAUCAACACAAUAUGUCUAAGCCUUUCAAGUGACCUUUCAUGCAAUAUCUGCUUACGAAGAAUGCAUUGAUGAAGAACAAGUACCUGAUGAAGUCAACUUAUCUUAACAUUCAGUUCUAGCCUGCACAUUGCUUGGAAACAUAGCCAAUAAUUUCUACUUGGCAAUUUCAUCUAAUCAUGUAGUCUGAACCUGCUGUCCAUUUUGCCAAUACUUUGUUGCUAUGUGUACCUGCUAUACGUUUCUUCAAAUGCUGAAACUUACUAUAAGAUCUAUUAAACUUGUAGAUUCUUCGACACGAAAGUGCGCGUCUUUAUCACGACUCAGCGCGACGACCAGUAAUCGAUGGUAAUCGAAGUGGCCGCGAUUUUCAAAGGAGUGGGCGACAUGUUUGACAGAUGAAACGGCACAAGAAAUUGCGCGGACAGCCGUUCCUCUUCUGGGACAGCUCGCACUUGUCCAUCUGGAGUCAAAUCCUCUUCAAUUUGGCCGUCAUUAUCAACUUGAUUGUCGCCGUCUUUUACCCGUUCGCCACUGACGGACCGGAUCCUGAUCCUGGCACUCACCUCUUAGGUCUCAUGUGGGAAUCUCAUGCUUCAAUCUGCCGCUGUGGCCAUUACGUUACCUAAACCGUCGUAUAUCAGGACUCUCGUCAUGAUAGUCAUUCUCCGACUUAUAUUCUCUACUUGCCCUCAACCCACAUUGAUGCUCCUUGGCACCGCCACCCAGCAGAAGGAAAGGCCAGUUUGCAUGUACUUCACACUAGAAGGUCAC